UAAUACACGUCACACAGGUUACGAGAGACCCUAAAUACACGUCACACAGGUACAAGAGACACCUAAAUACACGUCACACAGGUUACAGAGAGCCACCUAAAUACACGUCACACAGGUUACAGAGAGACACCUAAAUACACGUCACACAGGUUACAGAGAGACACCUAAAUACACGUCACACAGGUUACCGAGAGACACCUAAAUACACGUCACACAGGUUACAGAGAGAGACACAUAAAAUACACGUCACACAGGUACAGAGAGACACCUAUAAUAACGUCACACGGUUCGACGAGACACCUAAAUACAAGUCACACAGUUACAGAGACACCUAAAUACACAUCACACCAGGUUAGACGAGAGGACACCUAA
rnacentral:lncRNA from 1 species